rnacentral:rRNA from 1 species
CCUACGGGGCGCAGCAGUGAGGAAUAUUGGUCAAUGGACGAGAGUCUGAACCAGCCAAGUAGCGUGAAGGAUGACUGCCCUAUGGGUUGUAAACUUCUUUUGUCAAGGGACAAAAUCAGGCUCGAGAGCCUGACCGAGGGUACUUGAAGAAAAAGCAUCGGCUAACUCCGUGCCAGCAGCCGCGGUAAUACGGAGGAUGCGAGCGUUAUCCGGAUUUAUUGGGUUUAAAGGGUGCGUAGGCGGACUGUUAAGUCAGCGGUAAAAGCCCGGGGCUCAACCCCGGCGAGCCGUUGAAACUGGCUGUCUUGAGAUGUCGAGAGGUAUGCGGAAUGCGCAGUGUAGCGGUGAAAUGCUUAGAUAUUGCGCAGAACUCCGAUUGCGAAGGCAGCAUACCGGCGGCGAUCUGACGCUGAGGCACGAAAGCGUGGGUAUCGAACAGGAUUAGAUACCCUUGUAGUC